GCGGAAGCCAUGGAUGAAGCGCGUGCUGUCUAAUGCCGCAAAAGCGACGUGGCUCUGGGCUCUGCGCAGGCGCGGAAAACGGAGCAUCCCGGGAGUAGUAGUUCCUAGGGGAACCCCAAGUGCAUGACGGGAGUUGUGGUUCCCGCCGAACGUUAAGCCAAAAGUUACGUGAGGAGGGACGCACCCGUCUUUUGAGAUAUGGGUCAGCCGUCGCGGCUUGCUUUAUGGCUGUUGAGAAAAAUGAUGAAAUGAGGUAGAUGAGUGGCCCCUGGAGUGUCCACCGAGGAUUUCCAGUCGGACGCUGUGGCGAGGUGAGGCUUGUGAGGAGCUCAAGCAUCCUGCGAGCAUUCAGUCUGAAUGGGAUGUGACAGCGGGGUCUACCGCGCCCCGCUGGACUAAGUGAACGGACGCCGGGUCCAUCGAGAGCUUAGCGCAAGGCGGCUGGAACCGACGCGAGCAGGAGAAAAUGAGUUCCACCCGUGGUGGGUGCAGGAAACAAUGUGUCCCCGCGCGGCCCGUGUAGGGUUGCAGAUCCCAUUUCCCCAUUAACGAAAGCCAUUGCAAAGGUGGACGCUCAGGGGGAACUCCAGCGGGCGUGGGCCGGGGGACGCACACCCUUCCCAGCCGGGUAGGUAUUGUGGGACCUGGGCUCCCGGCUCUUCCAGGUUUGUCAAGACAAGUCAUAAAGGCAGGUUAUUUUAUAGGAAAAUUUCCACUUUAAAAAAUGUGGUAGAUAAGUGAAAACCCCAAAAUGUGUGGCUCAAGUUAAAACACUUCUGCCAGCCCGAAGCCGCUGGCCGCCCGGAGGCUCCCAUGUGCAGUCCAUGUCUUGAAGCAGGUGGCAUGGUUUUAAAAUGUGCACGUGAUUGAAUGUAGGGGUGUGACUGAGUAACAACACGAGCCAUCCACUGGCGCUGAAAGGUAGAAAAAUAUUACAGGGGAUGGGGCCCGAGGCACUGUGGCGUAGGGGGUAAAGCUGCUGCUUGCGAAUGCCUGCAACCCAAACGGGCAGGCUCUGGUUUGAGUUUCAGCUGCUCCACUUCGGAUCCAGCUCCCUGCUAACGUGCCUGGGAGAAGCAGCAGAGGAUGGCCCAGGUCCUUGAGCCCCUGCACCCACAUGGCAGUCCCAGAUGGAGUUCUAGGCUCCUGGCUUCAGGUUGGCCCAACCCCAGCCAUUGCAGCUAUUUGGGGAGUGAACCAGGGAAUGAAAGAUCUCACUCACUGUCUCUGUCACUCUUUCAAAUAAAUAAAUCUUUAAAAUGCCUGUUGCAAUUCUACAUUGACAUACAGGGCUACAUGCACCCUCAGACACACAGAGGCCAGGGACCAAGUCCUUAUUACUAGUGUGGCAGGGAGUACCUGGGUGGAGACAUUUUUGGUUGUGUGAGGAGUGAAAAACAGAGGUGUUAGGGUUGCUGCAUGGAAAGUUCAAAGCAUGAUGUAGGUGCAGCCUGGAAAGCCAGACCACUGGGAAAUGUCAACAAUUUGGGCUGUUAAGUUUGGCCUUGUGAUCCCUGGAAGCCGAAUCCAUCUACUACAAAAUCUGUGAGAGAUGGUUAGAAUAGUCACUUAGCUAGGGAUCACGGGAGAUCAAACUGGAAAGGCAGCAGGACCUGAAAGGAUUCUCUGUGCUUUGCUGAGGAGUGCAAGAAAUUUACCCAGAAUGCAACAAGACAUUCCAGUUGGGGGUGGCGUGGAUGAUUAAUUGGCAGAUCUGCAGAUAACCAUGACCUGAGGGGAUAAAAGACUAUAGGUGGGUGUCUUGCUGCAUUUAGACAAAAAGUGCUCAGGGUCUAAUUCAGGGACAGAAGUAGAUAUGGAAAGGAGGGCAUGAACUUGAGAGAUAUUUAGAAAUUAAAAUAUAUAGGAUGUGAUUGUAAUCAAGGGCAUAGCAUUUAGGGCAAGAGAGGGACACGAGGAGAGAAUGUGAAAUGGUUGCUUGCUUGAGUUCAAUUCUCAGAGGACUUUCCAGGAAAGCUUAUCUUGCAGUGUUGCCCCUAGUGUGGGCCAGACCCCCAAACAAGGCAAGCUGCAAACCAGUCUGAGUUAAGAGUUUGUCUCUAAGGAUGUUCAAGGAAAGCUUAUCAUGCAACAUGGUAUUCAGAAGGGGCCAGACCCCUGCAAAUAAGAAAGCUGCAAGAAACCAGUCUGAGUCCUUCCGCACCCUGGGCACUUCCCUAAUCCUUGCUGUGAAAGCCCUGGAAACCUGCUUCUCAGGGAGGUAGUUUCUUAGGGAGCUAAACCUUCCCACUGUCUCCUUCACAGUCACAAAGCCUUCCUCCGAGAAACUCCAGCUCAAGGCUGAUGAUCUGGCAACACCCCAAGUGGACAGACCCCUUGUGUCCACCAGCAUGACUGGUUAACUUGACGUGGUAACCAGGAGAGUACCAAGGCUGCACCCCAGGCAGCUGGUAUGGGAAACUGGGGAUAUGAAAGUGCCAUUAAGUGGGAGAGGGGUAGGGACUGCAGACCUAUUGGGAAAAAGUGGCCAGAAUGAAAACUGUCUCCCUUUUCUAUGUGUUGAAGUUCAGGUGCUUCUGGUUCAUCUGAAAGCUUAUUGAAGCAGGUCUUAGAGUAACCCAACACAUGGUAGGUUUUCAUUGGAGAGCCAUGUGGAAACAGGAGAUUGCAAAGUAAUAGAGCCCAUGAAGAGUGAGCAGAGAGGAAGUCAUGGAGAAGCUUAAGAAGGAAGAGUCAAACACUGAGUGAGACAGACACGCCCUGGAAGUGAUCAAGGAUGUUCUGUAGCGGAGUGGCUCCUACGACCAGGCAUUGAGAAAACCAUUGUUUGCCUUCUGGCUUGAGCUAUCCCUGCUGGGAACUGAGAAGGCAUGGAAGGAGGAAGAGACAGACACGGGGAACCCCAGCCACAGAUGUCUUCAUUACGGAUUCCUGGGACGAUGCAGGCACGAGAACUGUAUGCAGCUCCCACACUGAGGAGAGGGUGACACCACUUCCCCAGGGAUGGAAUCAGCAGCUUCCCUUGCUCCUGAAUCUCCGUGACUCCCGGGCGGAACGCAGAGGAGGAUAUGCAGGUUCUGACGGCUCCUUGCUAAGAGGCCUUCUGCUGUGGAGUCAAC